rnacentral:rRNA from 1 species
ACGGGAGGCAGCAGUGGGGAAUAUUGGACAAUGGGGGAAACCCUGAUCCAGCGACGCCUCGUGAGUGAAGAAGUAUUUCGGUAUGUAAAGCUCUAUCAGCAGGGAAGAUAAUGACGGUACCUGACUAAGAAGCCCCGGCUAACUACGUGCCAGCAGCCGCGGUAAUACGUAGGGGGCAAGCGUUAUCCGGAUUUACUGGGUGUAAAGGGAGCGUAGACGGCAUAGCAAGUCUGAAGUGAAAUCAUAGGGCUUAACCCUGUAAUUGCUUUGGAAACUGUUAAGCUUGAGUACCGGAGGGGCAGGCGGAAUUCCUGGUGUAGCGGUGAAAUGCGUAGAUAUCAGGAAGAACACCGGUGGCGAAGGCGGCCUGCUGGACGGUAACUGACGUUGAGGCUCGAAAGCGUGGGGAGCAAACAGGAUUAGAUACCCUGGUA